GCUCAGAAACUCAAAUGAAUUGACGGGGGCCCGCACAAGCGGUGGAGUAUGUGGUUAAUUCGAUGCAACGCGAAGAACUACCUGGUCUUGACAUCCCGGAGACCCUUAGGAAACUAGGGGGUGCUUCCAUCUGGAAGAAUCUGGAGACAGGUGCUGCAUGGCUGUCGUCAGCUCGUGUCGUGAGAUGUUGGGUUAAGUCCCGCAACGAGCGCAACCCUUGCCUUUAGUUGCCAGCAGUUCGGCUGGGCACUCUAAAGGGACUGCCGGUGUUAAACCGGAGGAAGGUGGGGAUGACGUCAAGUCCUCAUGGCCUUUAUGACCAGGGCUACACACGUACUACAAUGGCCGAUACAAAGGGCAGCGACACUGCGAGGUGAAGCCAAUCCCGUAAAAUCGGUCUCAGUCCGGAUUGGAGUCUGAAACUCGACUCCAUGAAGUUGGAAUCGCUAGUAAUCGUGGAUCAGCAUGCCACGGUGAAUACGUUCCCGGGCCUU
rnacentral:rRNA from 1 species